rnacentral:rRNA from 1 species
AGUGAACGCUGGCGGUAGGCCUAACACAUGCAAGUCGAACGGCAGCACAGUAAGAGCUUGCUCUUACGGGUGGCGAGUGGCGGACGGGUGAGGAAUACAUCGGAAUCUACUUUUUCGCGGGGGAUAACGUAGGGAAACUUACGCUAAUACCGCAUACGACCUACGGGUGAAAGCAGGGGAUCUUCGGACCUUGCGCGAUUGAAUGAGCCGAUGUCGGAUUAGCUAGUUGGCGGGGUAAAGGCCCACCAAGGCGACGAUCCGUAGCUGGUCUGAGAGGAUGAUCCGCCACACUGGAACUGAGACACGGUCCAGACUCCUACGGGAGGCAGCAGUGGGGAAUAUUGGACAAUGGGCGCAAGCCUGAUCCAGCCAUACCGCGUGGGUGAAGAAGGCCUUCGGGUUGUAAAGCCCUUUUGUUGGGAAAGAAAAGCAGCAGGUUAAUACCCCGCUGUUCUGACGGUACCCAAAGAAUAAGCACCGGCUAACUUCGUG